rnacentral:rRNA from 1 species
GAGUUUGAUCUUGGCUCAGAUUGAACGCUGGCGGCAUGCCUUACACAUGCAAGUCGAGCGGCAGCGCGGGGGCAACCCUGGCGGCGAGCGGCGAACGGGUGAGUAAUGCAUCGGAACGUGUCCUCUUGUGGGGGAUAACCAGUCGAAAGACUGGCUAAUACCGCAUGAGAUCGAGAGAUGAAAGCAGGGGACCGCAAGGCCUUGCGCGAGAGGAGCGGCCGAUGCCGGAUUAGCUAGUUGGUGGGGUAAAAGCCUACCAAGGCGACGAUCCGUAGCUGGUCUGAGAGGACGACCAGCCACACUGGGACUGAGACACGGCCCAGACUCCUACGGGAGGCAGCAGUGGGGAAUUUUGGACAAUGGGGGCAACCCUGAUCCAGCCAUGCCGCGUGUGUGAAGAAGG